GUGGACGACAAAAGCCCCGGACAUUACCUGGGGAUACAAAGCUGGAAUAAGAGGAAUGACCACUUCGUCUGACAGACCUGUUGCUGCACACAUCUGUACCCUUCGGUCAACAGAACCCGAUGCAAAGAACAGAAAAGGGAGAGAUGUGGGAGUUCAGACAGGCUGGUGGCGUGUCCAGAAUUUAUUCCUUCCGGUGGGUUCUUGGUCUCGCUGACUUCAAGAAUGAAGCCGCAAACCUUUGCUGCCUAUAUCACCCAAACCUGAAAAGGGAAAGAAGGAUGUGAAGAAAAUAAUAUAGGAGGAAGAAGAAUGAAGAAACAGCGGGCAAGAAAAAGAAGAAGACUAGAAAGAGAAGAUGAAGCAGGAUAAAGUGGAGGAGAAAUAGCUUUACUGAAUGGAAGUAUGUCUGUUACUUCUGCUCUUCCAACAACAACAACAACAACAAAAAGCCCAAGGAUGCUGCUAAAUAUCUUAAAAGGUACAAGCAAAUAGUUAUGAUAGUUUUA
rnacentral:lncRNA from 10 species